GUAGCUUGGGAAAAAAAUCCCUUCUGCUGUUCAUGAUGCUUCACUAGUGGUAUGUCGAUACCACCUACCCAAUUUCAUUAUUUUGGGCCCGUUUAGAGGCAUUAGGGUUCUGUUGCUACAUUUAAAAAACACGUUAAAUUGCCUGAAUAGGACGUGUCUUUUGAGAGCAGCGUCUCUAACGCUUUUGUUUCGUAGUUUUCUUAUUUUUUGUAUGCCUGAUUUCUUCGGCUCCUGGGUGGGUGGUGUCACACUAGUACUACAAUGAUCGAACGACCAGAAUCUACAGUUGCCAGCAUUGCACAGAGGAAUCUGGAGGGGUAUGUGGGGUUCGCCAACCUCCCCAACCAAGUGUACAGGAAGUCAGUGAAGAGGGGCUUUGAGUUCACACUAAUGGUUGUUGGUGAGUCUGGAUUGGGGAAAUCCACGCUCAUCAACUCCCUCUUCCUGACUGACCUGUACUCCAAGGAUUACCCUGGCCCAUCCCUACGGAUCAAGAAGACUGUGCAGGUGGAGCAGUCCAAGGUUCUGGUGAAGGAAGGGGGGUGUCCAGCUCACUCUCACCAUCGUCGAUACGCCAGGGUUUGGAGAUGCAGUGGACAAUAGUAACUGCUGGCAGCCUGUCAUUAACUUUAUUGACAGUAAGUGUGAGGACUUCCUGAAUGCAGAGUCCAGGGUGAACCGACGACUGAUGCCAGACAACAGAGUUCACUGCUGCCUGUACUUCAUCGCCCCCUCUGGCCACGGGCUGAAGCCUCUGGACAUUGAGUUCAUGAAGCGUCUCCAUGACAAGGUCAACGUGAUCCCUCUAAUCGCCAAGGCAGACACUCUGACACCUGAAGAAUGCCAGCUGUUCAAGAAACAGAUCAUGAAGGAAAUCCAAGAACACAAGAUCAGAAUCUAUGAGUUUCCUGACACCGAGGACGAUGAGGACAGCAAGCUCAUCCGGAAGAUCAAGGAGCGGAUGCCUCUGGCAGUGGUUGGCAGCAACGUGGUGAUUGAAGUGAACGGCAAGAAGGUCAGAGGUCGUCAGUACCCCUGGGGCGUGGCAGAAGUGGAGAACGGCGAGCACUGUGACUUCACUGUGUUACGGAACAUGCUGAUCAGGACCCAUAUGCAAGAUCUGAAGGAUGUGACCAACAACGUCCACUAUGAGAACUACCGCAGCAGGAAGCUUGCUGCCGUAACCUGCAAUGGAGGAGUGGACACCAGCAAGACCAAGAACCAAAUGACCAGGAGCCCCCUGGCCCAGAUGGAGGAGGAGCGGAGGGAACAUGUCAUGAAGAUGAAGAAGAUGGAAACCGAGAUGGAGCAGGUGUUUGAGAUGAAGGUCAAGGAGAAGAAACAGAAACUGAAGGACUCUGAGGCUGAGCUGGAGCGACGCCACGAGCAGAUGAAAAAGAACUUGGAGGUUCAGUAUAAGGAACUGGAGGAGAAGCGGCGUCACCAUGAGGAAGAGAAGUCAAACUGGGAGGCACAGCAACGUAUACUGGAGCAGCAGAAACUUGACGCUUCUAAGACCAUGGAAAAGAACAAAAAGAAGGGAAAAAUAUUUUAAGUUGAACCUAUUCCUCCAAUUAAAUAUUGCAAACUUGUUUUUACAUCAUUUUUGAUGUUCACACAAUCUAUGACCCUCAAACCAUAUAUACACACACACACACACGCGCACGCAAAUAAGCCGCGUUCACACUGCACUUAGCUCAGGGCUACGAGGGUGUUUACACUUGCACAUUCUAAAGUGGGCUAGCUGACCCUAUUAUACUAUUUAGGUCAUACAUGGACCUCACACAUGCAUCUCAUUCAGUACAUACAACAACACGCCCCAAUGUCACACUCAUACACCACUAUACACACACACACACACACACACACACACACACACACACACACACACACACACACACACACACACACACACACACACACACACACACACACACACACACACACACACAGCCACAUCCCUCUUUUGGGGGUCUGCCAAAACCUUUUAUUUCUAUUCCUGACAAGGAGGAAAUUAUGUCCCUCUGAUCUUUGGACUUUUACACAUGGCAGGCAUCAUGCAUAGCCAUCCUUUAUACUAGUGUACUACAAUCUGUUCUCUAGCUAGCUCACCUGUUUCUUCCAGCAGAGGAAGCUCAAGACCAUUCACAAGCACACUCCAUUACGUACGCUCAGACAUUCCCUGAACUCCUGGGACAUGUGCAUGUUAAACACACACUUGUAGGUGGUUAUUAAGGGUUCGAGUCAGGUGCGAGUGUACAAGAAACAGGAAAAUAAUUGUUUUGAAUUAUGACAGUCAAAAGCCAAGUCGAAAUGAAAAAGCCAGGUUCAGGAAAGGGGGUGACCUAUCUUAAAUGUGUGUGUACUUGUGUGUGGGUGCCUGUGUGUGUGCACGUGCCUGUAAACCAUGUGUUUGUGUCUUCUAUUUUACGAAUAGAAGACACACUUAACGGUAUAAACAGUAACAUUGUCAGUGUCAUAACAUUCUCUGGAUACUGAAGCAGAUAAUUAUGUCCCUAUUAUAUAGAUAAUGUUACACAAAUCAUAUGGGUGUCUAAAGCAAUGAUAACCGUGAUUAUGGCAAUGUCUUAUAUUGUGAAGUGAUGGAUUUUGUCAAAGCCCUAAACCUAAAGCCCUAUCUAUCCCUUGUCCCCUGUUCUGAAGACUGUACCGAGAGCUCUAAAUGCAUGGGUUUGUCCCAAACGCAUGGUGAGACUCUGACACUGAGACACAUUGUGUGACACCUCUAAACCCUUACCUCUCUGAGGUCCGUCAAGUUUUAUUUGAAUAUAUUAUGUAUGUAUGGUUGGACAACAAUCCCUUGAAUCCAGUAGGAUCAUUUAAGUGGUUCAACAAUUAUUAUUUUAGUGUGGUCUUGAUUUGACAAACCUCUAGAAAUCUUAAUAUGCACUUGAAGACAUGCAAAAGGGACACAGAAAAUGCACAGAUAAAUACAACACACAUAAAACCCCUGUCAUUUUCUUCUGGUUCACAUACAUAAUGGAAUUGACUGUAAAUUGUUAUAUACUUCACAACUGAACACAAGCCCCAAAUCCCAGAAGACAACCUCUGACCCGACCUACACUGCCUUCAUAAGCCACACUCACACACACAAUAAUACUCUAUGCCAACUGUAUGCUUUCUCAGGACCAGUCUCUUGUUGCAGGUCUCUGAGUUGUAAUAGUCAGAAGUUAGUCUGUGGUCUGAGAAGUCUUAAAGGCUCAUUUGAGCUAAGGUCUGAGACAAACCUUUCCUAAAUCAUUAUUUAACCACUCCCCUAUCUAAUAAUGUUGAAGGUAGCCAUAACUUUAGGAAUUGUUUUUUUUUAUAUAUUUUUUUUUAUAUAUAUCUACACUCUUCAGCUUUAUUCUGUUCAUCAUUUUAUUAUCAUCUGUUCUCUCUAACUGUACAUUAUUAAUAUUAAAGAUGAAGGUUAUGCUUAA